AGAAGAUAAGUGUUUCUAGACCGCUUUGCACCUGAAUACUAUCGGAUGAAGCUGAACGUUUAUUUCGUGGGACCAUCCGUGUCAGAGUGCAAAUGCCUCGAGAACGUUGGGCCCGCUACUGAGGAUUCUUGUGGUAAUUCACGACGUGCAAGCUGACACGACGAACAAACAUUGUACUCGCCAAGUUAUAUGGAAAAUAAGAGCGGAAGUACAAAAAAAAAUAAAAACAAACGAAUGUAUAAUUACAAAAUGUUAAAACUGCCUUGAAUUAGUGACAUAUUUAAACUGAUUAGCAAGUUCUGUUGCAACAAUAGUUGCUUAUCUAAAAGAAUUUGCAGUGGGCCUCGAAGAGAAGGUGAUUAAAACAACCGAGGUCCUGAAUAAUUAAAAUUCAAUUGAAAUGUUUGAUAUGAAGCAAACUUAUUACCAAAGAAUACUUAUAUUUAAGUAUUGCCCUUAACGAAGACGUUUCAGGGGGAGUUCAGUUCCUACGAGACGGCCUGGUACAAAUGAUUUUUAAUUUACCGUUACACUUGGGGGAAGCAGUGGCGUUAACUUUAUCAGAACUCUCUUGAACUGGAGUGCAAUUGCAGCAAUCCGGGGUGUCCGAAUGCUUCUUUCUUCCUCUGUUAUACAACACGUGUGAUUUUAAAUGCCAUUCUGUUCAAUGUGAACGUGACGAGUAGCUAUGGUAAUAUUGUAAGUGUCACCGAGUAAAGUACAACAUACAAUAAUCGAUACGGUUCCGUUUCGUUGAUCUUCGGAAUCUUAACGGCUAACGUUGAUCAUGACGAAACACCGAAAC